rnacentral:rRNA from 1 species
AACGACCUCAGAGCAGGCAAGACUACCCGCUGAAUUUAAGCAUAU